rnacentral:rRNA from 1 species
GACAGAGGUCCCAAGCGUUAGGCGGAAUCACUGGGCUUAAAGCGUGUGUAGGCGGAUUUGUAAGUACCUUGUGAAAUCCCACGGCUCAACCGUGGAACUGCUUGGUAUACUGCUUAUCUUGGGCCAUCUAGGGGCGAGCGGAACAAACGGUGGAGCGGUGAAAUGCGUAGAUAUCGUUUGGAACGCCAAUGGUGAAAAACAGCUCGCUGGGGGAUGUGCCGACGCUGAGAUACGAAAGCCAGGGGGAGCGAACGGG